AGCUCCCCUGUUUUUCUCGCCGUUGACAUUGAAAUGAUGUUUCAUAGUUCUCUGAUCCAGUUCUUCGUUUUCAACUGAUUAAUCCAGGAAAACCCAGAAAGAUAAAACAAAUGAAAAUGAUAGAAUUAAUAGGUAGGAGGCGUUUAGAUGCAUUCAUCUCCAUAUUCGUUACAGCGCACCCUCAUGAGAUCCCUGCUCUGCUCCACUCUUCUUCUUGUUUCUUCUUUGUUUUGUGUGCUUAUUUCGUGGUGCUGCCAUUGAGGGAUGAAGGGGCAAUUUCCUUGGGAUUAGCUAAUUUGCCUGGAUUGUUUGUUGGGUCAUUACUUUUGACUUUGAUAGCUGCUCCUGUUUCAACUCUCAUCUUCUCUUUGCCUAAUCUUUCCAAAGUCAAGGCUUUGGUUUUGAUACACAGGUUUUUUAGUGUAUCACUUGUUGUAUUCUUCAUUCUAUGGCAUACUUCGUCAACGGAGUCAAUGCGAUCCCAGUCAAAGGAUUCAGUUGCCUUUUCCACUGAACUAAAAGUCAAAAUUGAUCAAGCCAGCCCUGUUGAUUCCAUAGGUUGGGGAAACCAUGGUUGGUUUUAUGUUUCAGUGAGAAUUGGAUUGUUCCUUUGGGUUUCCCUGCUUAACCUUAUUACCAUCUCUUCAACUUGGGCUAGAGUAAUUGAUGUCAUGGAUAAUGAGUCAGGUUCAAGAUUGUUUGGUUUCAUUGGUGCUGGUGCAACGCUUGGCCAGCUUUUUGGGUCUUUGUUUGCCACGGGAAUGGCCUGGCUGGGGUCAUUUCUACUCCUAUUUGCUGCCAUUUUGAUGGAACUAGCGGCACAGUCAUCGAAAGGGAUCAGCAAGGAUAUAGCGCAUCUCCCUGAAGAGUUAUCUCCUAUCAGAAAAGCUGACUUGGAUCAACAAAAAGAUGCUGAUGAUGAGCAGACUGCAUCUGCUGUCAAAGUUUCUUCUCCUAAACUAACUACCUCUCUGGUGGAGCCUCAGCUUUGGGCCAUCUUAGACGGCCUGCGGCUCAUAUUGUCAUCAACAUAUUUGUUGCAUGUGUCAUUGUUCCUCUGGUUGAGUGCAGUUGUCUCCUCUUUCUUCUAUUUUCAGAAAGUAAAUGUAAUUGCCAUGACAGUUGCAAGCUCAGUUGGCAGAAGAAGAUUGUUUGCCCAGAUAAAUAGCUUUAUUGCUGUUUUUAUUCUCACUGGACAACUUACUUUAACAGUAUGCUAUGCUUCAGGGGCGCAUUCUUACUGUUGCUGGGGUUACUAUAGCUCUAUGUUGCACUCCAUUUGUUGCUUUCUCAAAUCUGGUUGCAGUUGCUAUAUGGCCAACUUGGAAAGUGGUUGCCCUUUCUGAGACCCUAAGAAAGGUGGUCAAUUAUGUUGUGACCAAGCCUGGAAGAGAACUCCUAUUUACCGUUGUUUCUGAGGAUGAGAAGUACAAAGCUAAGAUAUGCAUCGAUGUAAUUGUCCAGCGACUUGGGGAUGCUACAGCAGCAGGAAUAUACAAACUACUUUUCAGCAUUCUCAAUGGGAGGAUAUCAACAGUGUCUCUAUAUGCACUUCCUGUCUGUUUACUUUGGAUAGUGACAGCAUUUUACUUAGGACACCGUCAAACGCAGUUAGCAAAGCUGCAGAUUGGGUCCUCAUCUUGAAAAUUUCUGAAAGAUGAUUCAUUUCACAUUUCUUUGGGAGUUGAAGAUGCACAGGUCAAAAUCCUUCUCAUUUAUCAACAUGUUUGUGAGAAGUAACAUGUUCUACGAACUGCUUUGAUGAUGGCAUUAGUUGAAGAGCAGUGCAAUAUAGUCCGACUUGUAUGGAGUUUCUUGUUGUUCUUCUUUGUUAAGGUUGGAAAGGUUAUCUCAUACAGUUUAAACAGGUGUAAUAGCGGUGUCAGCUGGUCCAUAGUUGGCUUACAAGUUUCAGACUGUUUGGCAUCUUCAUUUGCAGUAAGAGGUUGCCCUUUUUGUGCACCGUGCAGCUAAUCGACAACUACAUGUUAAUUUGCUUUUCCUUUGUUAACUGAUAACCUUCUUUACCAGUUUUAGUAAAAUAGUGUUGCCCAAAAGUUACCAGCUUGUAGGAUAAGGUUCCAACAACACUAGUUACACUUUUUUCAUCAAGGAAAAGAAAGAUUUGUAGAACUUAUAGUUGGCAUUGGAGUUGCCUAGAAUUUACCUACAGAUGUCUACAUAUAUUGUACAGUUGUACCAGUUUUUGGCAUUCGAAAUACAAUUGUUGAGAGCCAGUUGGCUGAAUCUUAUCUUGUAAUACCCAAAGUGUGAAUUCUGAAACCAGCAAUUCAGUUUCAAUGUAAUGCAAAAAAUUGAUGGUAUAACAGUUUCCUGCCUGAAAGCACAGCAACCAGGCUUACUUCCA